rnacentral:rRNA from 1 species
UACGAAGGGGGCUAGCGUUGUUCGGAAUUACUGGGCGUAAAGGGCGCGUAGGCGGCGUGUCAAGUCAGGCGUGAAAGCCCCGGGCUCAACCUGGGAACCGCGCUUGAGACUGGCAUGCUCGAGUUCGGGAGAGGAUGGUGGAAUUCCCAGUGUAGAGGUGAAAUUCGUAGAUAUUGGGAAGAACACCAGUGGCGAAGGCGACUCACUGGACACGUAUUGACGCUGAGGUGCGAAAGCGUGGGGAGCAAACAGG